UGGUGGCUGUUGCUGCGGUCGGCGAGAAGGAGGUAAGGACGGGGUGGUGGUGCUGGCAGGCGACGAAGGGUCGCCGGAGAAGGGGAAGAUGAGGCAGCGGCUGGCGGCGGAAGGGGGAGACCGAAGGAGAGAAGAGGAGAGGAAGAGAGGUUGAGGAGAUGGGAAGGGGAGGCAGAGCCGGCGGCUCCCGGCGGCGGCGUGCCGUCCGGUGGCGCGGCGACAGGAGGCCGCAGGAGAGGGAGAAUCGGGAAGGGGAAGAGUGAGCGAGAGAGAGAGAGGAGAGGGUGGCGUGAGUGGUGUGUGUUUGUGAGGGUGUUGUGGUGUGUGAAUUUAAGUUAGGGAUUUGUUAGAUGGGUUUGGGCUUUAGUUAGUUUAAUUAUUAAUGGGUUUAAGUUUUAUUAAAAAUGUUUGGACUCAACCUUUAAUUUCUUAAUGGGCUGCAGGAUUUUAUUUUAAAUAGGUUAUAUUUGUUUUUAAAAUAAAUAUCAACCCAAAUAUUUUUAUAAGAAAAUAUAUUAUACUACUUAAAUUUAUUAGAUCAAUUAUUUUUAUAUGAUCCAAUAAUCUAAAUUAUUUUCUAAAGUUUAAUUAGGCCCUUAUGUUAAUUAUUUGAAUUUAUCUGACUAGGUGCGGCGCGACUAGGACGUGAACUUUAAAUUCUUGCAGUUAAUUUUCAAAACUCAAAAGUUCAAGUUUCAGGUUUUAAAGGCCGGAAGCGCGUGGAAGGUCGAAUGGCGAGUAAAAUGUUUUGAAUUUAGUUAUACUUAAAAAACGUUAUGUUUAGUAAAGUAUUUUAACAUAAGAUAUUUAUUUCCCUAUUUUCACAUUAAAUAUUUAUUUAUAGUCAUUAUUUUCCACGUGUGUUUUCAUUUAAAAUUAAAAUGAAUUUGGGUGUC